AGCGUUAUUCGGAAUUACUGGGCGUAAAGCGUACGUAGGCGGCUUUGUAAGUCAGAGGUGAAAGCCCGGGGCUCAACCCCGGAUGUGCCUUUGAAACUGCAUCGCUUGAACGCCGGAGAGGUGAGUGGAAUUCCGAGUGUAG
rnacentral:rRNA from 1 species